GACGAACGCUGGCGGCAUGCCUAACACAUGCAAGUCGAGCGAGCAGAUCCCUUCGGGGUGAAGCUAGCGGCGGACGGGUGAGUAACACGUGGGCAACCUACCUCAUAGAGGGGAAUAGCCUUCCGAAAGGAAGAUUAAUACCGCAUAAGAUUGGAGAUUCGCAGGAAGCAGCAAUUAACGGAGAAAUCCGUUAUGAGAUGGGACCGCGGCGCAUUAGCCAGUUGGUGAGGUAACGGCUCACCAAGGCGACGAUGCGUAGCCGACCUGAGAGGGUGAUCGGCCACAUUGGGACUGAGACACGGCCCAGACUCCUACGGGAGGCAGCAGUGGGGAAUAUUGCCCAAUGGGGGAAACCCUGAUGCAGCAAUGCCGCGUGAGUGAUGACGGCCUUCGGGUUGUAAAGCUCUGUCUUCGGGGACGAUAAUGACGGUACCCGAGGAGGAAGCCACGGCUAACUACGUGCCAGCAGCCGCAGUAA
rnacentral:rRNA from 1 species